UUGAGUUCUGCAAGCCGUCGA
rnacentral:miRNA from 1 species